rnacentral:rRNA from 1 species
UACGGAGGGUGCGAGCGUUGUCCGGAAUCACUGGGCGUAAAGGGCGCGUAGGCGGCUGGGGAAGUCGGCGGUGAAAGCCCGGAGCCCAACUCCGGGUCGGCCGUCGAGACUCCUCGGCUCGAGCUCACUAGAGGCAGAUGGAAUUCCGGGUGUAGCGGUGGAAUGCGUAGAGAUCCGGAAGAACACCGGUGGCGAAGGCGGCCUGCUGGGCAGUGGCUGACGCUGAGGCGCGACAGCGUGGGGAGCAAACAGG